UACGUAGGGUGCAAGCGUUGUCCGGAAUUAUUGGGCGUAAAGAGCUCGUAGGCGGUUUGUUGCGUCGGCUGUGAAAUCCCGAGGCUCAACCUCGGGUCUGCAGUCGAUACGAGCAAACUAGAGUGUUGCAGGGGAGACUGGAAUUCCUGAUGUAGCGGUGAAAUGCGCAGAUAUCAGGAGGAACACCGGUGGCGAAGGCGGGUCUCUGGGCAACAACUGACGCUGAGGAGCGAAAGCGUGGGGAGCGAACAGG
rnacentral:rRNA from 1 species